UACGUAGGGCGCAAGCGUUGUCCGGAAUCAUUGGGCGUAAAGCGCACGUAGGCGGCCUGAUAAGUCGGGUGUGAAAGCCCUGGGCUCAACCCAGGAAGUGCACUCGAAACUGUCAGGCUUGAAUAUGGAAGAGGGUCGCGGAAUUCCCGGUGUAGAGGUGAAAUUCGUAGAUAUCGGGAGGAACACCAGUGGCGAAGGCGGCGACCUGGGCCAAUAUUGACGCUGAGGUGCGAAAGCGUGGGGAGCAAACAGG
rnacentral:rRNA from 1 species